AGCAAAGGUUAUUUAUGCACCGGAACUACUCUAGCACCAUGGCUCGGACCUGCAUUCAGCCAUCUCUGUGUAAGUACCGAGCUAACCGAUGACGCCACUGGAGCUCCAUUCAGCCAUCUCUGUGUAAGUACCGAGCUAACCGAUGACGCCACUGGAGCGCCAUUCAGCCAUCUCUGACGCCAUUGUCCCUGUGUGUGCUUCCUGGCUCUCCUUCCGAGCACGCCAACGUGACACCCAUGCCAACUGCUCCACCCUCUCACUGUCUUACGCCAGCUUCCCGGAUGUGCCGUGAUGAAAAGCCAGGUCACCUAUAGAAUUAGAAAGCAGUAUCACUCACUGCCAGCAGAUACCACUGCCUGAUCCAUGUUAUAUACCAAAAGAAAGAAAGAAAAAAAGGGAGACUCAGGAAGACAGAUGGACAGAAGCACAAGGGAAUUCCUCAAACCAACAUGAAAAACAUGGCCUUCCAACACUUGUGGGAAAAACCAGUGCAGUUUCUAAGAACAUUCAACUUCAGUUUUUGCUUAUGCAGAAAUUUUAAAACUCAUGGGCUCAGAAAUUCAGCUCUGAGUCAGCGGGGAUUUCCAGCACUUACUGUUGAGACUCAACAGGUCUUCAGUUGACUCACUUGGAGGAUGGUGAUAAGCCUGACUACUAGAAGUGAGCUCACUGCAGAAUCCCUGGGGCAAAGCUCAAGCACUCACCCAAUUAGAGUCAAUCCAUCUGUCUUUGCCAAAAACCCAAUAAAGUAGAAAGGAGUUAGACUUGAGAAUUAGCUGGAGAUUCAUUUGGAUUUCAGUUCAACUGCUCUGUGGGAAUUCCCCUGAGCAAUUCAGAGUGUCUCUUUCUGUGAGGGCAAAAUAAUAAUACCUGUUUUACCAGUGUGUUAAGGAGUGAGAUCACGGGCUGAGAUAUUCAAUAAAAUACAACUGUUAAUGCCCAAUGUGCUCAUGGUCGCAAAAAUUGACAAUUAAUGAGCCCAACUUGAAGCGCCUGCCUGGCAAGCGCAAAGUCCUGAGUUCAAUUCCCGGUACUAAAAAAAAAAAAAAAAGAAUUGAUCCUAACUUGCUAAUAAAAGAAUGAUGGGAGAGAAAUUCAGGAAGAAACUCAUUUUAGAUGCCCUUAGUAUUGCCCUAGCAUACUUGUAUCCUUGUACACAUGGUUCACAGGUUACCAGGGUCAUGGAGUUCACCAGGGCCAUGGGCAUUAAAGAGAUCAGCAACAGUCAAUAUCCUGUAGGGUCCUCCUUCAACAUGUCCAUUGUCCCAAUAGUCACAUCACCAACACUGAGCUAACCAUGCUCAGUUCAGGCUUAUAUCAGCUUCACUCAAGUGCAAGUUGGCAGUACAUUACUUCCAACCUACAUUGUUGGCUUCUCGUUUUUCACUCCUGCGCUUCUAUGAUACUAAAACAGAAGUUAGCCCCCUCUAGUUCCCUGAACUCUCACACAUGUGCCACCUAGUAGUGUAGAGGAGUUAACACCCAUGAAACCAUCUCCACCCAAUACAACACAGGAACCUGGUCAUAAAUGCUUCUACCCUGUGAUCCUCCUACAUGGGCAGUUCUCACACUUGUUUCAUAAAGUGUCUCAAAAGGUCACACCAGAGAGUACCAGUAGGUGCCGCCUGUAUUAAAUGUCCUUGUGUUGACUUUCACUCCAUCCUCAUCUUUUGGUUCUGCUCCCUGGAGUUGAAUUCUAAUUAAACUUCUAGACUACACACAGCCUCUGUCUCAGGCACUGUUUUCAAGGAGAUAGAGGGUAAGACACUGCCUACACCUAUGGUUACCUAGAAAGCUGGCUUGUAGAGAUGGAAGAGACAUUAGUUCACUUCAAGGAUAAGAUAUUUCUGUGAAAAAGGUCACUAAUUGAUCUUUCCCAGGGAUUCUAGACAAAACCUUGGAAUUCUUCUCACACUGCUGUAGACAAUCUUGUCAAAGGAUGGAGGCUGAUCCUUGAGAUAGAUUUCAUUGGCUACCUUGGGUCCAACAGAUUGGAUGCAAAUCUCAGUUAUUAGCUAUAUGACCUUCAAAUACCUUUUGAAACUUUUCUAAACCUUAAUUUUUUCAUCUAUAAAAUGGGGAUAAGUUGUUUCACAUUAUUAUUAGGCAUAUUUAAUAUUCUUAAUUUAUUUAAUUAUUUACUGAAUGUACUGUUUAAUAGUGUAAUAUACCAAAACACUUAGCAAGGUCUAGGCACACACUAAAUUCUCAAUCAAUGUAAUUGUAUUCUCCCUUUCUUUUAUUUUAAAAUGCAAAUAUCAAGAAGAAGGGACAACAAUCAUUGUACACACUUGGCUCAAGGCUAAGAGAUCAAUGUCAUCUAGCUGGUAAAAGACAGUCUUUGGGUUCUAUUCUUUCUAUCAAACUGCCCCAUCUGGGACCUCAGACAACCUGACUACCAUCAUCAGAUUACAAACCCAGGGAGGGUCCGUUGAUGAUGAACAAGUGCCAACCCAGCUCAUCAAGCACCAUGAGGUCCUGCUACACUGUAGGAAGAAGGAGAAGGAGGACCAUAAAUAACUCUUAAGGCGGCCUUUCCAACCUGGCCUGCUCUUGAACCCAAUGACAGAGGAAGAAAAUGACCACAGAGAUUUGGAUCUGCUGGC